AUUGAACGCUGGCGGCAGGCCUAACACAUGCAAGUCGAACGAGUGGCGGGCGGGUGAGUAAUGUAUGGGAAACUGCCUGAUGGAGGGGGAUAACUAAUCGAAAGUGUGGCUAAUACCGCAUACUCUUGGAUCGGACGAUAUCGGAUUAGCAAGUUGGUGGGGUAAAGGCUGACCAAGGCAACGAUCCGUAGCUGGUUUGAGAGGACGACCAGCCACACUGGGACUGAGACACGGUCCAGACUCCUACGGGAGGCAGCAGUGGGGAAUAUUGGACAAUGGGGGAAAACCUGAUCCAGCCAUCCCGCGUGUAUGAGAAGGCCUUCGGAUUGUAAAGUACUUUAAGCAGAGAAGCGGUAUCUGCAGAAUAAGCACCGGCUAACUACGUGCCAGCAGCCGCGGUAAUUC
rnacentral:rRNA from 1 species